rnacentral:rRNA from 1 species
UACGUAGGUGGCAAGCGUUGUCCGGAUUUAUUGGGUUUAAAGGGUGCGUAGGCGGCUUUGUAAGUCAGCGGUGAAAUACUCUAGCUUAACUAGAGGGGUGCCAUUGAUACUGCGGAGCUUGAGUACAGAUGAGGUAGGCGGAAUUGACGGUGUAGCGGUGAAAUGCAUAGAUAUCAGGAGGAACACCGGUGGCGAAGGCGGAUCUCUGGGCCGAUACUGACGCUGAGGAGCGAAAGCGUGGGGAGCGAACAGG